CUGAGAUCUUAUCAGCAGGAGUAGAACAAGAAUAACGUUUGGAUUGAGUGUUAAGCUCUAGGCUUCAGUGCAAACUAUCACAGACUACUGGUGUGAUCACCCUAUUACACCUGCAGAGCUGCUAGAGGUGCAGCCACCAUGGGGAUGAACUUGUCAAAUCAGAGAGAAUCAUCAUCGCCUCCCUGGUGCCUUUGUUACAUAGGAAGCAUCACCACAAAGGAAAAUGAGGAAAAAGAAGAGUGC
rnacentral:lncRNA from 1 species